GUGGCUCAUCGCGGCUUCGGGUUUUCCUCCCUCCUCGUUUGCCUCUCUUAUCGGUCUCUUUGUUAAUCUCCUCCCCUCUUUCUACUGAGCGACCGUCGGAAAAACCCUAACCCUAGGGAUGGACGCGAUCAGGAAGCAGCUCGACGUCCUCAUGGGGGCUAACCGAAACGGCGACGUUAUGGAGGUGAAACGCAAGUACUACGACCGCGACGUCUGCCGUCUCUACUUGGCUGGCCUUUGCCCCCACGACCUCUUCCAGCUCACGAAAAUGGAUAUGGGUCCUUGUCCAAAGGUGCAUUCUCUACAGCUGAGGAAAGAGUAUGAAGAAGCCAAAGCAAAGGGAAUUCAUAAUUUUGAUAGAGAACUGGAGGAUAUGAUAGAAAGGCUAAUUGUCGAAUGUGAAAGGAAAAUCCAGAGAGCCCUUAAGCGUCUAGAGGAAGAGGAUGCCAAAGCAGCUAUUGCAAUAUCCGUAUCAGAAGUUACCCAGACACCUGAGGUCAUGGAGUUGUCAAAGCAAAUCAAGGAGAAAUUGAAAGAAGCUGAUGCUUUUGAUUUGGAAGGAAAAACUGACAGUAAAAUUCGGGCUCUGGAGGAGGUUGAAGAGCUUAGAACAAAAAGAGCUGAUAAGCAGUCUAUGCUGCUUCUGGAUGCCUUCAACAAAGACCGGGCUUCAUUGCCACAACCACUUCAGAAUCCCUCUCAAUUAUCUUCAACACCCGCACCUAUUCCUCCAGAUCCCCGAACACAAGAAAUGAUAAAUGAAAAACUUAGAAAGGCAGAAGAGCUUGGUGAGAAGGGAAUGGUAGAUGAAGCUCAGAAAGCUUUGGAAGAGGCAGAAGCUCUGAAAAAGUUGGGUGCACGCCAGGAGCCAGUCUUAGAUUCUUCAAAGUAUACUGCUGCAGAUGUGCGAAUUACUGAUCAGAAGUUACGUGUAUGUGACAUAUGUGGAGCAUUCUUGAGUGUCUAUGAUAGGCUUUUGGGCCCAGUUUUACGAGGAUUUCUUUUGCAGCUAAAGAAUGUGCGUGUUUUAUUAUUUAUGCUUGUAGAUUAUAAUUGUCAGAAGUUAUGGGGUCACUAUGCAUUAUGCAAAUCUGUAGGAGGUUUUCAGAUUUAUGCUUUUAAUAGCGAAUGUGAUAUCUUGUUGGUUUUGUGGUAUGCAGUGAUCGUCGUUUGGCUGAUCAUUUUGGAGGAAAGCUUCACUUGGGCUAUAUGCAAAUUCGUGAGAAGAUAGCAGAACUUCAGGAAGAGAGAAAUAAGAGGCGAAAGUCGGAGCGAACUGAAUAUGAUAGCAGGUCAAGAGAACGAAGUCAGGACCGUGAUAGAGCAGCAAGUAGGGAUCGGGACAGAGAUAGAGAGGACCGAGGUGAUAGUCGUGACAGGGGAAGGGAUUAUGAUCGUAGAAGCAGAGACUAUGAUCGCCAUUAUGAUAGAGAUCGAGGAUAUGAUCGCGACCGAGAGAGAGAAUCAGAUCGAUCUCGCAGUUAUGAUUCAAGGAGCCGGCGAAGGUCACGUUCUCGUUCAAAGGAACGCUCUAGAGAUUAUGAUCGGCACAGUUGAUUGACGCCAAUUGUACAAGUACUGAGAUACACGUUGAAACAUCUCUCCCACCAAAGCUGUUUGCUUCCAUCUGGCUAGUUGAGUGGUUCAGCCUCCACUCAUUUGAAGAGAACAGACAGCAGGAGAUGAAGAAUUGUAGGCUUAGUACAACUUGAACCUAUAAUAAGCGUCAUGAUCGAUACGACCGAUACUGAACUUUUAUUUCAGGAUGGAAGAUAUGAAGUGUUGAGGUCUGUGUGCUUAAGCUCUAUGGCUGGUGUCACAGUGUGGUUUCGUGCCUGUGGAUUCAGUUCACCUGAAUACAGAGUCCUUUUAUCUGGAUUUCCCUGGUGGUUGAUUCCAGCACUUGUGAAGGAAUUUAUAAGCCUGUCUAAUAGAAUGAAAACCUUGUUAGGUCGUUUAACUGCUUUUGGAAGUACUCUUGUGAAACGUAAAAGAUAGAUGCUACUCUGUUGGAAAAAAUGCGUUGACUGGUAGGUUGUGUUUGGUUGCUUUCUUUCUUUA